UAUUUAUUAGUUUAAAAAAAAAUAUUUUAUUGCAAAUAAAAAGAUGAAUAACAUAAGUAU
rnacentral:tRNA from 1 species